rnacentral:rRNA from 1 species
GACGAACGCUGGCGGCGUGCUUAACACAUGCAAGUCGAACGGUGAAGCGCCUUCCUUUUUGGUGGGUGUGGAUGAGUGGCGGACGGGUGAGUAACACGUUAGUAACCUUCUCCCUUCUUCUGGAUAACCGCAUGAAAGUGUUGCUAAUACGGGAUAUUCUGGGUCUGUCGCAUGAUGGGUCUGGGAAAGUUUUUGUUUCGGUUGGGGAUGGGCCCGCGGCCUAUCAGCUUGUUGGUGGGGUGAUGGCCUACCAAGGCGGUGACGAGUAGCCGGCCUGAGAGGGUGGGCGACCACAGUGGGGAUGCAAGACGGCCAAGCCUACGGCGGGCGGCAGUAGGGAGGAAUAUUGAACAGUGGGAGGCAGGACGAAGCAGCGACGCGGCGGGAGGGAUGGUGGCCGUCGCGUUGUGAACUUCUUUCGGGAGUGAAGCAAUGCGGCAGUGUCUGUGCGUGGGUUGACGGUAGCUGGUCAAGAAGCGCCGGCUAACUACGUG